rnacentral:rRNA from 1 species
GACGAACGCUGGCGGCGUGCUUAACACAUGCAAGUCGAACGCUGAAGCUUGGUGCUUGCACUGGGUGGAUGAGUGGCGAACGGGUGAGUAAUACGUGAGUAACCUGCCCUUGACUCUGGGAUAAGCCUGGGAAACUGGGUCUAAUACUGGAUAUGACAUGCCACUGCAUGGUGGUGUGUGGAAAGGGUUUUACUGGUUUUGGAUGGGCUCACGGCCUAUCAGCUUGUUGGUGGGGUAAUGGCCUACCAAGGCGACGACGGGUAGCCGGCCUGAGAGGGUGACCGGCCACACUGGGACUGAGACACAGCCCAGACUCCUACGGGAGGCAGCAGUGGGGAAUAUUGCACAAUGGGCGGAAGCCUGAUGCAGCGACGCCGCGUGAGGGAUGACGGCCUUCGGGUUGUAAACCUCUUUCAGCACGGAAGAAGCGAGAGUGACGGUACGUGCAGAAGAAGCGCCGGCUAACUACGUG